rnacentral:rRNA from 1 species
UUCCGGUUGAUCCUGCCGGACCCUACUGCUAUCGGGGUGGGACUUAAACAUGCGAGUCGUCACAGCCACGCGCGGCAUACGGCUCAGUAACACGUGGCCAACCCACCCUCGGGACGGAGACAACCCCGGGAAACUGGGACUAAUACCCGAUAGGCGAAGAUUCCUGGAACGGGUCGUGUUAGGAAUGCUUCAUCGCCCGAGGACGGGGCCGCGACCGAUCAGGUAGUUGGCGAGGCAACGGCUCACCAAGCCUAUAACCGGUACGGGCCGUGGGAGCGGGAGCCCGGAGAUGGGCACUGAGACAAGGGCCCAGGCCCUACGGGGCGCAGCAGUUGCGAAAACUUGUCAAUGCACGAAAGUGUGAACGGGCUACCCCGAGUGCCGUCCGCUGAGGAUGGCUUUUCUCUGCUGUAAGAAGGCGGAGGAAUAAGGAGAGGGCAAGUCUGGUGUCAGCCGCCGCGGUAAUACCAGCUCGCCGAGUGGUAGGGAUGAUUAUUGGGCUUAAAGCGUCCGUAGCCGGCCUCUCAAGUCUUUCGUUAAAUCCAGCGACUAAUCGUUGGACUGCGGGAGAUACUGUUAGGCUAGGGGGCGGGAGAAGCCGACGGUAUUCUUGGGGUAGGGGUAAAAUCCUAUAAUCCCAGGAAGACCACCAGUGGCGUAGGCGGUCGGCUAGCACGCGCUCGACGGUGAGGGACGAAAGCUGGGGGAGCGAACCGGAUUAGAUACCCGGGUAGUCCCAGCUGUAAACGAUGCAGACACGGUGAUGCACUGGCUUGUGGCCAGUGCAGUGCCGCAGGGAAGCCGUUAAGUUUGCCGCCUGGGAAGUACGUACGCAAGUAUGAAACUUAAAGGAAUUGGCGGGGGAGCACCACAAGGGGUGAAGCCUGCGGUUCAAUUGGAUUCAACGCCGGA